rnacentral:rRNA from 1 species
GUCCUUGCCUUAACGAUGUGUACUUGAUGUAGAUGGGCUCAACCCUGUCUGUGUCGUAGCUAACGCGAUAAGUACACCGCCUGGGAGUACGUUCGCAAGGAUGAACUCAAAGAAUUGACGGGACCCGCACAAGCAGUGGAGUAUGUGGUUUAAUUCGAUGCAACGCGAAGAACCUUACCUGGUCUUGACAUGCUUUUGGACCGCAACAGAGAUGUUGUUUUCCCGCAAGGGACUGAAGCACAGGUGCUGCAUGGCUGUCGU